rnacentral:rRNA from 1 species
AAACAUAUAUACUGUAAAGUAGUUUAAAAUUUUGAUUAGGUUAUUACCUUUUGCAUAAUGGUUUAAUAAUAUAUAAUUAAAUUAUGUUUCCCGAAUUUAAAGGAUCUAAUUUUACUGGAUUAUAGAUCAUAGUUAUAAUGUUUCAAAAUUAUAUUAAUAAGUACAAUUAGGGGUGAAAGGCCUAUCAACUUUAAGGUUAUCUGGAAUAAUUUUAAAUGUAUUUAGUACAAAAUAAAUUUUGAAUAAAAAAAUGUUAAGAUUUUUUUAAUUAAAGUAUUUUUAAUAAUUAAAUUUUUAUGGAUUAUUCUUCUGAUAAAUAUAUUACUUAUUAUUUAUUAUUUUUAUAUCUUUAUUGUAAAAUUAUAUUUAUUAACUAAUUAAAAAAUCAAAUAUGUUAAAAUUAGUAUAUAUAUUUGUUUUACUAAGGAACUCGGCUAAUUAUUAUUCAUCUGUUUAUCAAAAACAUAGUCUUAUGUAAUAAUAUAAGGUGAUACCUGCCCAUUGAUAUAUUUAACGGCCGCAGUACCUUGACUGUGCUAAGGUAGCAUAAUAAAUUGACUUUUAAUUGGGGCCUUGAAUGAAAGGAUAAAUGGAUAAUUUCUGUCUCAUGAUAAUUUAUUAUAAUUUACUUAAAAGGUGAAAAUUCCUUUGUUUAUUAAAUAGACGAGAAGACCCUAGGAGUUUAAAAUUUUUGUUGGGGCGACAGUAUAGUAUAUAACCUAUAUAAUAAAUAUAUAAUGAAACGAAUAGUUUUAAUAAUAAAUAAACUACCCUAGGGAUAACAGCAUAAUUUAAUUUAAGUUUGUGACCUCGAUGUUGGG